rnacentral:rRNA from 2 species
GCGACUUAUAUUCUGUAGCAAGGUUAACCGUAUAGGGGAGCCGAAGGGAAACCGAGUCUUAACUGGGCGUUAAGUUGCAGGGUAUAGACCCGAAACCCGGUGAUCUAGCCAUGGGCAGGUUGAAGGUUGGGUAACACUAACUGGAGGACCGAACCGACUAAUGUUGAAAAAUUAGCGGAUGACUUGUGGCUGGGGGUGAAAGGCCAAUCAAACCGGGAGAUAGCUGGUUCUCCCCGAAAGCUAUUUAGGUAGCGCCUCGUGAACUCAUCUUCGGGGGUAGAGCACUGUUUCGGCUAGGGGGUCAUCCCGACUUACCAACCCGAUGCAAACUGCGAAUACCGAAGAAUGUUAUCACGGGAGACACACGGCGGGUGCUAACGUCCGUCGUGAAGAGGGAAACAACCCAGACCGCCAGCUAAGGUCCCAAAGUCACAGUUAAGUGGGAAACGAUGUGGGAAGGCUCAGACAGCCAGGAUGUUGGCUUAGAAGCAGCCAUCAUUUAAAGAAAGCGUAAUAGCUCACUGGUCGAGUCGGCCUGCGCGGAAGAUGUAACGGGGCUAAACUGUGCACCGAAGCUGCGGCAGCGACGCUUAUGCGUUGUUGGGUAGGGGAGCGUUCUGUAAGCCUGCGAAGGUGUCCUGUGAGGGAUGCUGGAGGUAUCAGAAGUGCGAAUGCUGACAUAAGUAACGAUAA